rnacentral:rRNA from 1 species
GGUAUUUUGACUAUACGAAGGUAUUGAAAUAAGGCUUUAAAUGGGUGCUAAGAGAAUGGUUUAACAAUUAUCAGCUUUCUUUAAUUAAAUAAUUGAAUUUAAUUUUUUUUGUGAAGAAGCAAAAAUGUAAAUUAGGGACAAGAAGACCCUAUGAAUUUUUAUUAUUAUUAAAUAAAAAAUUUUUUAAUAAUAAUUUGAUUGGGGUGAUAUAAAAAGAAUAUUUAUCUUUUUGUAAUAAUUUAAUUUGAUCCGUUAAUAACGAUUAUUUGAAAAAAAUACUCUAGGGAUAACAGCGUAAUAAUUUUGGAUAGUUCACAUAGAUAAAAUAGUUUGCGACCUCGAUGUUGGAUUAGGAUUCUUUUUUGGUGAAGAAAUUAAAAUUAAGAAGUUUGUUCAACUUUUAAAUUCCUA